rnacentral:rRNA from 1 species
GACGAACCGUGCGAACGUUGUUCGGAAUCACUGGGCUUAAAGGGCGCGUAGGCGGCAUAGCAAGUCCGGGGUGAAAGCCCCCGGCUCAACCGGGGAAGUGCCUUGGAAACUGCUGUGCUCGAGGGAGGUAGGGGUCGAGGGAACUUCUGGUGGAGCGGUGAAAUGCGUUGAUAUCAGAAGGAACGCCGGUGGCGAAAGCGCUCGACUGGACCUUUACUGACGCUGAGGCGCGAAAGCUAGGGGAGCAAACGGG